GGAAUAUUGGACAAUGGGGGCAACCCUGAUCCAGCAAUGCCGCGUGUGUGAAGAAGGCCUUCGGGUUGUAAAGCACUUUCAGUAGAGAAGCAAAGCCUAAGGUUAAUCACCUUGCGUCUUGACGUAACCUACCGAAGACGCACCGGCUCACUCCGUGCCAGCAGCCGCGGUAAUACGGAGGGUGCAAGCGUUAAUCGGAAUUACUGGGCGUAAAGCGCGCGUAGGUGGUUUUGUAAGUCGGAUGUGAAAGCCCUGGGCUCAACCUGGGAAUUGCAUUCGAUACUGCUUAACUAGAGUAUGGUAGAGGGAAGUGGAAUUUCCGGUGUAGCGGUGAAAUGCGUAGAUAUCGGAAGGAACACCAGUGGCGAAGGCGACUUCCUGGGCCAAUACUGACACUGAGGUGCGAAAGCGUGGGUAGCAAAC
rnacentral:rRNA from 1 species